rnacentral:rRNA from 1 species
UACGGAGGGUGCAAGCGUUAUCCGGAUUCACUGGGCUUAAAGGGUGCGUAGGCGGCUUGUUAAGUAGGGUGUGAAAGCCCCCAGCUCAACUGGGGAACUGCACUCUAUACUGGCGAGCUGGAGUGAGAUAGGGGUGUGUGCAACUGCCAGUGGAGCGGUGAAAUGUGUUGAUAUUGGCAGGAACGCCGGUGGCGAAAGCGACACACUGGGUCUCAACUGACGCUGAGGCACGAAAGCCAGGGGAGCGAACGGG